GCCCUGGUGGUGGAAUUGGUAGACACAAGGGAUUUAAAAUCCCUCGGCGUUCGCGCUGUGCCGGUUCAAGUCCGGCUCGGGGCACCA
rnacentral:tRNA from 4 species